rnacentral:rRNA from 1 species
CAUCCAGCGAAUUCGGUAGAGAUACCUUAGUGCCUUCGGGAACGCUGAGACAGGUGCUGCAUGGCUGUCGUCAGCUCGUGUUGUGAAAUGUUGGGUUAAGUCCCGCAACGAGCGCAACCCUUAUCCUUUGUUGCCAGCGGUCCGGCCGGGAACUCAAAGGAGACUGCCAGUGAUAAACUGGAGGAAGGUGGGGAUGACGUCAAGUCAUCAUGGCCCUUACGAGUAGGGCUACACACGUGCUACAAUGGCGCAUACAAAGAGAAGCGACCUCGCGAGAGCAAGCGGACCUCAUAAAGUGCGUCGUAGUCCGGAUUGGAGUCUGCAACUCGACUCCAUGAAGUCGGAAUCGCUAGUAAUCGUAGAUCAGAAUGCUACGGUGAAUACGUUCCCGGGCCUUGUACACACCGCCCGUCACACCAUGGGAGUGGGUUGCAAAAGAAGUAGGUAGCUUAACCUUCGGGAGGGCGCUUACCACUUUGUGAUUCAUGACUGGGGUGAAGUCGUAACAAGGUAAGCGUAGCGAG